UACGGGGGGGGCAAGCGUUGUUCGGAAUUACUGGGCGUAAAGGGCUCGUAGGCGGCCAACUAAGUCAGACGUGAAAUCCCUCGGCUUAACCGGGGAACUGCGUCUGAUACUGGAUGGCUUGAAUCCGGGAGAGGGAUGCGGAAUUCCAGGUGUAGCGGUGAAAUGCGUAGAUAUCGGAAGGAACGCCGGUGGCGAAAGCGGCACGCUGGACCCCUUCUGACGCUGAGGCGCGAAAGCCAGGGGAGCGAACGGG
rnacentral:rRNA from 1 species